CCUACGGGAGGCAGCAGUGAGGAAUAUUGGUCAAUGGACGAGAGUCUGAACCAGCCAAGUAGCGUGAAGGAUGACUGCCCUAUGGGUUGUAAACUUCUUUUAUAUGGGAAUAAAAUGUUCCACGUGUGGGCUUUUGUAUGUACCAUAUGAAUAAGCAUCGGCUAACUCCGUGCCAGCAGCCGAGGUAAUACGGAGGAUCCGAGCGUUAUCCGGAUUUAUUGGGUUUAAAGGGAGCGUAGGUGGAUUGUUAAGUCAGUUGUGAAAGUUUGCGGCUCAACCGUAAAAUUGCAGUUGAAACUGGCAGUCUUGAGUACAGUAGAGGUGGGCGGAAUUCGUGGUGUAGCGGUGAAAUGCUGAGAUAUCACGAAGAACUCCGAUUGCGAAGGCAGCUCACUGGACUGCAACUGACACUGAGGCUCGAAAGUGUGGGUAUCAAACAGGAUUAGAUACCCCGGUAGUC
rnacentral:rRNA from 1 species